ACUAUUUUGGCAGAUUAAAUGCAUUAAAUUUAGGGUUUAAUUAUAUGGAAAAUAUGUCUAUAGAUAGUA
rnacentral:tRNA from 1 species